GCAUUAAUGGGGUAGUGGUAACCUGGGUCGUUGCCAUUUGAGCGAAGCUCGACCCGCCGGGGGUUCGAUUCCCCCUUAAUGCA
rfam:Leucoagaricus sp. SymC.cos contig4046, whole genome shotgun sequence.